GUGCUAUUAGUCUAGUUGGAUAAAACAUCAUUUUCCUAAAUUGAAGUCCCCAGUUCGAAUCUGGGAUAGCACA
rfam:Lactobacillus plantarum bacteriophage LP65, complete genome.